AGCUUUACUAGUUUAAAAUAUCUGAUAUCAAAUUUAAUGUAUGUAAAUAAAAACACUUCUUAAAUGUUUCCAUUGGUAUGCAAUUCUUAUUCAUUUAGCGAUAACUUUCGAUUGGUGUAUUUCUCGUCACGAUCAGACCAUCACAGCAGAUGUUCAAUUCUGGGGCUAUGUAUAUAAUAGUAGUCUCCUAUGCACACAUUCUUGGUGCGCAUCGUCACUAAAUGUAUGGUCGUCCAUAGUGAUAGCAACAUACAUAUAUGAUUACUCGGCAAGCUGCUUUGAAAUUGUAAAGUUACAAGGCUGAUUUUAUUGUAGAGCUGUGCAGCCAGAUUACAAAACAAGUUAAUCAAAAACAAUUUUUUUUUUUGUAAAAUAGAAAAUAGUCGUCACAAAAUGUGAUAUUAUAAGUUUUUGGAGUUGAAGAUGUGAUCGGCACGUUAAUUUUACCUAGUCCAGAGGUGAUUCAGUUUGUUAAGAAAUUAAAGGCAGCAAUUAAAGGUGCCAGGAAUGACAAAAACAGCAUUUUGACCCGCAGAGGUAAAUACCUUAAAGACGCAGACUUCGCCAAAAUGCAUCUCCUUGGAGAAAAAAAUCCCAAUAUAGCCAAGUAAAAAUCAUCUUAGUACUUUUAAAAUACUACCGAAUCACUACCAAAUUUAAAGCUAGUUGAAGAGGAUGUUUUCCACCUCUUUCUAGUACAUUCACCUCUUACGGAAGAAAAAGCAGCUGAAACGUAAUUUGUUCGCUGAAGCAGGAAAGCAGCCUGUCUGAAUAGUUAUAAAGGGCAUCUAAUAGUCGAGGCACUCGAGUAUAGCGUUUCUUCUUCUUUAUAGGGCGGUGGUGUAUUAAGAGUUUUUUCGGCAAAACAGUUAUUCUAGUUAUGUGGACUAAAUAAUUAAUUAAUAAUACUACAUAUAUCGCGGAUCCCCUUGCUAAUGAUAUUAGUUUGUAUGGGACUUUUACCCAGGAGCACCCAAUUAUCAUGUAAAAGUAGAAUUGGAAUUUUUUUGUUGUGUACCUGAGUAAUGUUUAUACUUACAUAUAGUACAAUGCAACAUUGAAUAAAAUCAUCAAAAAGAAUUGUUCCACGUCCAAA